UACAGAGGUCCCAAGCGUUGUUCGGAUUCACUGGGCGUAAAGGGUGCGUAGGUGGUGGGGUAAGUCGGAUGUGAAAUCUCCGAGCUCAACUCGGAAAUGGCAUUGGAAACUACCCUGCUUGAGGGUUGGAGGGGGGACUGGAAUACUUGGUGUAGCAGUGAAAUGCGUAGAUAUCAAGUGGAACACCAGUGGCGAAGGCGAGUCCCUGGACAACUCCUGACACUGAGGCACGAAAGCUAGGGGAGCAAACAGG
rnacentral:rRNA from 1 species